UCUACCCUCUGUCUGGGAGGAAAUGGGUUCAGUCAGCCAGGAAGACACACCUCCCACUUUUGGUGGCAGCAGUGGGAUCCAAAGGAGACAUCUGAUGGCUUAGGGGAUGAGAAACACAGGCAUUGGUACCCGCAAAACCUUUGAGUUCUCCAUCUUUGUCACUGAUUCUGAGAGCCGUGGAGUCAGCUCCAGAGUUUCAGCCAGCAGCAGAAGCAGAGCUGUGGGCAGUGGUGGAGGUAGAGCUGGCUCCAGCUCCGUUGACACCACCCCCUCUAGCACUGGAGCCAGUGUCCCCUCUACCAGCAGUGUUGGAGCUGGAGCAAGGGCCAACAUGGGCUCCAGCAGGAGUGGGAGCUGCUGAGUUGGAGUCACCUGGACCAUCAUUUCUAGUGGGAAGUCCAUCUCCACCUGUGGCUAAGAAGUGUGAAAAGAAGCCCAACCUACGGCCUUCCCUCCUAAGCUGGUGGUGGAGCAGUUGACUGUGAUGGAUGCGGAGCUCUUCCAGAAGGUGGUGUCCUCUCCGUGUCUGGGCUCCACCUGGGGCAAGAGGAACAAGCCCGGCAAUGAGCACCAGACACCCAACGUCCAGGCCACCGUCGACCACGUCAGAAGGGUGGCCAGCUUCGUCAUCAUCCCCUGCCUCGGGGACCCGAGCAAGACAGCCCAGGACAGGGUGAGGGUGGUGGAGCGCUGGAUCCAGGUGGCCCAGGAGUUCGAGAUCCUGAAGAACUUCUUCUCGUCCUGCACUGUCAACUCUGCUCUGCAGAAAACCUUCACAAGCCACCUGAAGAACACACGGGGGAAGUUUCCCGCCAGGACCCUGCUGCUCCUUCUAUCUUCACCACAUCUCCAAGGGGCUGCAUCCUGCCUGCCCCAGGGAUGUGCGUGGCAGAGGAUUCCCAUGGCCCAGGUGGAAAAACAGGCUGCUCAUCCUCAGGAGGGGCCCUCCACGUUUGCUCCCCCAGAGAGCAACCCCCAGAGAGUGCAGGAGAAGCAGCAGCAGCGGCAGGGGAAUGGGAUCAACCUUGAGAAGAGGACUGAGGAGCAGCUGUGGCACUCCCUGCAGGGGAGAGGAAGGAGGUGGAAAUCAGAGACCUUCUGGGCAGAACAGUCCUUGGCUUCACCCGCUGUAUCUUACAUUGAGUGGAAGAGUUUGAUACCAGAGAAGUGGGAGACCCAUCCAAUUGGCGGGUGGGUUGAGGGGAGGAUGGCAUCAAGGAAAUCUUCCUGGAGGAGGGGCUGAUUAUUCCCAUUCUGAGAACUGGUAGAUCCUGGAUGGAACUGGAGUGAAGGAUGGUUUCCAGGACUGGUCCCCUGCCCCACUCCUCACCUCCAACAAGACCCCUGCAGCAUCCCCCACCCAGGCCCUGUCUGCAUCCUCUCCUUCCCUCUGGUCCCAGGAAUACCGAGUCAUGAGGGAGAUCCUGCUGCUCCAGGAGGCUGCAAAGAAUUACAAGCUAGAGCCCGAGGGAGCGAUUUGGGGCCUCGUUCCAGGACAUGGAGUUGCUCAACGAGAAUGAGAGGUGAGGCCGGGCAGGAGUUGGGUGAGGGCAGGGGUGGACUCUCCCUGUUGGCCAGUCCAGAGAGCCUGUCUCCAUGGUGCCCCACUCAUCCCCCGGCCUGAUUACAUGGUGAUCUCUGGGACACCCAGACUCCAGCUGCUGGGCAGGCAGUGGGGGGACCCCUGAGGUGUGGUUCCUGGUAGGCUCACAGGUGCCUCUCUGUCCUGUAGCUACACCUUGUCCUGCCAGCCAGAGCGCUAGACCUAGUUGGCCUGCAGAGUACGCAAGGCCAAGAAGAACCGGCCAUCAUCAAGGUCAGGGGGAGACUGAGAUCUCAAAAUUAUCAAGAAGCUGAAGCUCCCCAACUCCCGCUUCCUGGCGCCGAAUCCACCAUUCAUCACAGGGACAGACAAACAGAGGACACCUGCAGCUCCCCUAACUCAGCUAAACGCAGGCUGAUGGGAGGACGCCGAACUGCAAAGCCGCAGCUCCCCUCCCCCACCUAAAACCUUGUAAACUGUAAUCGUUAAUUGGCAGCAGUUGCCGUCCACACCCCAAGGCCAAAUUUCUGGUGAUGAGAGAAGAUUGGUUGAUGGAGCCCUAGAUCUCCCGUUGUAGAUAGAGAUGACAGCCGGCUUGGCGCCAGAAGACUGGGAUCACUCCUCCAACAAAUAAUCAGUCACCAAGGAUAUAUUAUUUCCCACAGACUUUCCUUUAAAAGCCUCAACUCCUAAUGCCUCAGGAGGACUGUGGAUUUUGGGGCAUGUGCCCACUACAGCCUCAUUUUGCUGGCAAAAUUAAACCACUUUUCUUUUCCUCGG